ensembl:sense_intronic Gm20475 predicted gene 20475
GGGCUACUGCUGACUUCACUGAGAGUCUCAGGUGUUGAGGGUGAACAUUCUGCAGGAAGAGGCCCAUCUGUCCUGUAAUCCACAUGGGAAACAUUGUGUGCGUGUCACAGGUUGAAACUUUGGGGACAGAGAAGGGAGCGUAGAUGCUGAAUAAAAUCUUUCGAGAAUAUCAGUAAAGAUUCUGAGGCUGUGUUUGAGACUCACAUCAGUUCCUUGGUUCAGUGCCAUUUUUAGUACUAGUGAAAAUGUCUAUCUUAAUUAAAA